GACGAACGCUGGCGGCGUGCUUAACACAUGCAAGUCGAACGGGAGUAUUGAAGAAGCUUGCUUUAGAGAUACUUUAGUGGCGGACGGGUGAGUAACGCGUGAGGAGCUGUCCAAUGCAGGGGGACAACAGUUGGAAACGACUGCUAAUACCCCAUAAGCCGAGAGGUAAAAGGAUUUAUCCGACAAUGGAGGUACUCGCGUCCUAUCAGCUAGUAGGUGAGGUAACGGCUCACCUAGGCGAAGACGGGUAGCCGGCCUGAGAGGGCGAACGGCCACACUGGAACUGAGAUACGGUCCAGACUCCUACGGGAGGCAGCAGUGGGGAAUAUUGGGCAAUGGGGGGAACCCUGACCCAGCGACGCCGCGUGGGUGAAGAAAUCCUUCGGGAUGUAAAGCCCUGUUGUAUGGGAAGAGCGGAAGACGGUACCAUACGAGGGAGCCCCGGCAAACUACGUGCCAGCAGCCGCGGUAACAC
rnacentral:rRNA from 1 species